UACGAAGGGGGCUAGCGUUGCUCGGAAUUACUGGGCGUAAAGGGCGCGUAGGCGGCACUGUUAGUCAGGCGUGAAAGCCCCUGGCUCAACCGGGGAGGGUCAUUCGAUACUGCUCGACUCGAAGGCAGGAGAGGGAAGCGGAAUUCCCGGUGUAGUGGUGAAAUGCGUAGAUAUCGGGAGGAACACCAGUGGCGAAGGCGGCUUUCUGGCCUGUUCUUGACGCUGAGGCGCGAAAGCUAGGGGAGCAAACGGG
rnacentral:rRNA from 1 species